AGCGUUAAUCGGAAUUACUGGGCGUAAAGCGCACGCAGGCGGUCUGUCAAGUCGGAUGUGAAAUCCCCGGGCUCAACCUGGGAACUGCAUUCGAAACUGGCAGGCUAGAGUCUUGUAGAGGGGGGUAGAAUUCCAGGUGUAGCGGUGAAAUGCGUAGAGAUCUGGAGGAAUACCGGUGGCGAAGGCGGCCCCCUGGACAAAGACUGACGCUCAGGUGCGAAAGCGUGGGGAGCAAACAGGAUUAGAUACCCUGGUAGUCCACGCCGUAAACGAUGUCGAUUUGGAGGUUGUGCCCUUGAGGCGUGGCUUCCGGAGCUAACGCGUUAAAUCGACCGCCUGGGGAGUACGGCCGCAAGGUUAAAACUCAAAUGAAUUGACGGGGGCCCGCACAAGCGGUGGAGCAUGUGGUUUAAUUCGAUGCAACGCGAAGAACCUUACCUGGUCUUGACAUCCACAGAACUUACCAGAGAUGGAUUGGUGCCUUCGGGAACUGUGAGACAGGUGCUGCAUGGCUGUCGUCAGCUCGUGUUGUGAAAUGUUGGGUUAAGUCCCGCAACGAGCGCAACCCUUAUCCUUUGUUGCCAGCGGUCCGGCCGGGAACUCAAAGGAGACUGCCAGUGAUAAACUGGAGGAAGGUGGGGAUGACGUCAAGUCAUCAUGGCCCUUACGACCAGGGCUACACACGUGCUACAAUGGCAUAUACAAAGAGAAGCGACCUCGCGAGAGCAAGCGGACCUCAUAAAGUAUGUCGUAGUCCGGAUUGGAGUCUGCAACUCGACUCCAUGAAGUCGGAAUCGCUAGUAAUCGUAGAUCAGAAUGCUACGGUGAAUACGUUCCCGGGCCUUGUACACACCGCCCGUCACACCAUGGGAGUGGGUUGCAAAAGAAGUAGGUAGCUUAACCUCGGG
rnacentral:rRNA from 1 species